UCAAAGGCCACCGAUAACCGAUAUCGGAAAGUGGGUAGUCCGAUGUGUAAACAGGUCGAUUACUCUCAAAUUGAAUUUAGUUGGGUUUAUACAGCGUCUAUUCACAUGAACUGUUUAAUGUUAUAUUUUUGGAUUUUACUAUUUAAAUAGAUCAACAAAUUCAUUUCAGAAACCAUUGGAAGUUUUGUUGUUCACCUGUCACUGAUAUCAAUCAGAAAAUUGGAGAUCGAAUAGAAGUUGACGAUUAUUGAUAUACGUACUACAAAUGUGAAGUCUCUCAACCUACUACUUCGAAUAAGAUGCGACAGAGGCACACCACUCAACAAGCAACAUAGCUGAUACAAGCCAUUCUAAGUUCUCCAGAAGCUCAACUUACACCUACAACGGUGGAAUAGAGAAAAGAACAUCACUAGUUGAUACGCAACACAUUCGAAAAAGAAAUAGUGCCCAUGGGAUAUUAAGUCGUGAACUGCAGAUCACAAAAUGAGAUGAUUUCCAAAUCAAACAUGACUUGUUGACUAAAACUUAUAUUGGUAAAACAACAAUGGGUUCAUGGAACGUUAACAUUUACAUUUUGUCAAGUCAAACUGGUCAGUAGCAAAACUGCUUUUAAGAGUAUUGGAUAUUUCACAGCUGUUCUCGCGUUGCAUCUAUAUCGAAAUCGAUACAUCUAUGGACCAUUGAAAUAUGAAGCCGCAGCUUUCAAUCUUUUAUUAGAGGCCUUCAGAUCAACCUUCAUGUCAUUCUAAAUGAAAUUAUUAUCGUUCAGCACAUGCAUUCAUUGAAAGUUACGAUCGAGCACCACGAAUUUGAAGUAUGGACUGCGGGUCAAAAAUACUGGACUAAUCAAAAUAGGUUUGUGAGAGGCGAAAUGUUGAUUGAAUUUUAUCAAAUAAUUUCGAAUUGGGUGUAACGGCUACGUUCAAUGAUAACUAGUGAAGUUGUUUACGCACGCAGGAAUGGUUGUUAUCAAAGCGAUUUGUGGAUUUUAAACUCAAUCUGAAAGAUAACGGCAAUAAGGAAACGUGUAUUUACAUAAAAAUAAUGACAUUAUCCUCAUCGCUCAAUGUUCUGAAUGUUGAUAAAAUGAGUGUUUUUCAUAAGAGUUUGUAAUAUACUUUCUUGCUUUGGUGUUGUUUAAGACAUUGAUUUAAACAGUGCACAUUUUAUGUCGUGCUUUUUCAAUGAGCUUUUGCAAUGUUAGAAGACCUACACACUUUUAGUAGUUCUUCCUAAUUUGACUUGAAUUUCAAACUAGUUUAUAAUAAUGUCUAUGGGAUAUAAAACAGUGCACAUUUUGUGUCGUGCUUUUUCAAUGAGCUUUUGCAAUGUUAGAAGACCUACAUACUUUUAGUAGUUCUUCCUAAUUUGACUUGUGUUUCAAACUAGUUUAUAAUAAUGUCUAUGGGAUAUAAAACAGCGCUGUGUAGAAACCAAACGGGUUCCCAAAGAAAUGACUAUGACGUAACCAAGCAUCAUGGUCUUGGGAAACGCAAGGAGGCAGCGAGGAAAUAUUUAAUGGAAAAUCUGCACUCGCGAUUCAAUGACGUAAAACAUUCUGGUCACAUAUUCAUUGGUGAGGUAAGCAAACAUGAAACGAAACUUCCACGUGUGAUUUCUCACGGAACAGAGUGUCCAAAGUCAAUCUCACAUCAUAGUAGAGUUCCAAGUUCACCAGGCGUGGUUAGUAUGAAUGCAAAUGUAGAUGUAGACGAUGAAACAGAAAAUAAUGACCUCCUUCAAAUAAGAAACAAAAGUUCAACUUCGAUCAGAAAAACCGACAGUAAUAAUUUAAGCCUUCCAGAAAUAAUCAUGGCAUUCAAUUCUGAAGCCAGUAUGGCUGUUUCCGAAAGUCAUAAUUUCGUGAGGUCACCGACGGACUUUUCCGAGGAUGAUCGAGUGUUAGGUGCCCCUUAUGAGGAUUAUUUGAAGGUCAAGAAAUACGGUCGAUAUAAUCCAUGCAAAGGAAAAUACAGACCCGUCACACCUGGGUUAUUGGACACGCUGAAUAAGCAACGGAUGCCAUCUAAAGUUAAGACGGAGCAAUGGCUGAGGUCGACACAGUAUCUUCCCAAAGCCACUUAUUGCAAUAUUGAGUACCAGACACAUGUAUGUCUUGAUCACCCUAACUGGAUUUACACGGAUUCAUAGAUAUGAAGUGCAAUACAGAAAGGUGCUUAAGUAUAUACGUUUAUAAUCGUUAUAUAAUAAAUUGGUUCAUGCUGCCUUUUAAAAUAAAUUAUUGUUGUGUCCUGAAAAAAACAUGCUUAUUGAAUACAGGUAUAUUGAAACUAUUUAGACAUCAUGAGUAGUGAUAUUCUAUUGUAGUUUCUUAUUUUCAAGACCUGUGAUGUUUUAGCAUAAACAAAAACACGACGGCGCAUACGAAAACACUAGACUCACAAUGAGAAUACAUGUAACUGUUUACGAGUGCGUAACGGUUUGCUAAUGCAUUUAUGAGGAAAUUCCAUAUCUUGUAGUUUAGUCAAAACCUCACACAAUAUUAAAUACAUGUUAGCGUAACUGGAGAAAAUGUUAUUAAAGUAACAUAAGUACUCAAAAUCAACGAAUAUUUUGCAAACUAUUUCGUAAAAUAAAGUUAACCUAUAAAAAUCAGUGUUCCUUAUAGCAAUAGCCACAACUUCAACGCUAGAUAUUGUACGCUUAAAUUGAUUUAACGAGAUACAAAAUGUUCGUGUUUUUUGUGCGACAAUAUAUUCCAUGUGAAUUUCCCGCGACGAUAUCCGAACAAAUACGAGCGAACGCGAGACUGGCUUCGGCCAGCGUCGGAAGAACGACGUAUUCAUGAUAACUACGUCGUGCUCCCAAAGCUGCCCGAAGCCAAUCCAUUCGUAAAUGUUAGGAUAUCGUAGCCGGAAAUUCACAUGGAAUAUAUUGUUACACAAAAAACACUAGAGCAUUUUGUAUCGCAUUUUGUUUUAAAUCUAUGUUAACAGAGCACAUCUGGCGUUGAUUUUUCGGCAUUUGCUAUAAGAAACAUUGAAUGUUUACGUGUUCACAUUAUUUUUCGAAAUAUUUUAUGAAAUAUUCGUUGAUUUUGAGCAUUUAUGGGCUUUUAACUCUGUUACAUGCCUUGCUAUUCGUGUUUUGUGAAUCGAAUUGAAGAAAUAUACUUCACUUCUUUAACAGAACACAUUAUAAAUGGAAUAAAUACAGAGCACGGUAUUUCAUUUAGUAAAUAAUUUAAAAAUAGAACGCAUACCGUGUAGAUUUGAUGUAAGUUUCAAAAGACCAUUUUAACCAUAUAUUGCUUGUAUCAAUCAAAAUGAACUGUAUUUCGCUUAUAUAUGAAUUCAAAUACCGUGUCAUUCCCGACACACAAACACACACACUACUUAUUUUUGUAUCUAGAUAAAACGUUAGGGGUAUUAACAAAUAAGCAAGUAAUACAUAUUUAAUCAUGGCGGUAAUGUCUGAAAUAUAUGAUGUUGUGCAUACAUUUAUGUAUAGUUUUGUUACAUGUUUCUAUAUUAUAAAUAGAUUGACAUAUACAUUUGUGAUGAAAAUUAAUUAAAUAUACUAAUGUU